rnacentral:rRNA from 1 species
UACGGAGGGUGCGAGCGUUGUCCGGAAUCACUGGGCGUAAAGGGCGCGUAGGCGGCUCGCCAGUCAGGGGUGAAAGCCCACGGCUCAACCGUGGAAGUGCCUUUGAUACUGCGAGUCUCGAGCCAGCUAGGGGCUACCGGGAACAAAUGGUGGAGCGGUGAAAUGACGUAGAUAUCAUUUGGAACGCCAAUGGUGAAAACAGGUAGCUGGGGCUGUGCUGACACUGAGACACGAAAGCCAGGGGAGCGAACGGG